UUCUCAAGGCUUCGUUGGGCUCUGACAUGUGAUCCUCGCUACAGGAAGGACGCGGCGAAUGCAUCGUCCCCCGGGGCUGCCUGGCUCGACCUUGUGGGAAGAGACUCCUUUUCCACCCUCACUGCAUCACAACAGCUGCCAGACCCCUGAUAAACGGGACAGUGGUCCAUGAGUGCGGCUGUGCGAGCCCUCGGGGCUGGAGCAAGGAUGGAGGAAUGGUCACUGCUGAGGAUGGCCAGCCCAAACAACAGAGAGCACUCAUUGCUGGAGGUCCUGCGCAAGAACCUCAUGGAAAAUUGUUUGCUGCCUGCGUGGAAUUCCCCGCCUGGUGCCAACACGGUGGAUGUUUAGGCGAGUGUCACACCCGGCCAUCAAGGGCUGCAUCACCGGCACCGCUUUCAGCCCACACAGCCCGGGACAAACGUUUGGCCGGAGGAAAUGAAGCAAGAGCUGAUUUACACCUAUCGGGAUGGAUCACCACUGACCUCCAUCGCCGAUUCCCGCUGCCACGGGGAGCAUCACUCCGCUGCUCUUCCUCCCUUUGCUCAUUUGGAAGACGGGGGUAAUAAUCCCCAUCACCUAUUUGCGAGGCUGUUGUGAAUUUUCAUGAGCUCCCAUCUGAACGGGGCUUUGAGCAGGAAAACUGCUGUAUCAGCUCUAGGCAAUGAUAAACAAUACUCAGCAUUUACAUA